rnacentral:rRNA from 1 species
UACGGAGGGUGCAAGCGUUAUCCGGAUUCACUGGGCUUAAAGGGUGCGUAGGUGGGUUGGUAAGUCAGUGGUGAAAUCCCCGAGCUUAACUUGGGAACUGCCAUUGAUACCAUUAAUCUUGAAUACCGUGGAGGUUAGCGGAAUAUGUCAUGUAGCGGUGAAAUGCUUAGAUAUGACAUAGAACACCAAUUGCGAAGGCAACUCACUGCACAAUCAUUGACGCUGAGGCACGAAAGCGUGGGGAUCAAACAGG